AUGUCACAUUCCGUAAAAAUUUACGAUACAUGUAUAGGAUGCACUCAAUGUGUACGAGCUUGUCCAACAGAUGUAUUAGAAAUGAUACCCUAGGAUGGAUGUAAAGCCAAGCAAGUUGCUUCCGCACCGAGAACCGAAGAUUGUGUGGGUUGUAAGAGAUGUGAAUCUGCCUGCCCGACAUAUUUUUUAAGUGUCCGCGUUUAUUUACGGCCUGAAACAACACGUGGCAUGGAUCUAUCUUAUUGA
rnacentral:rRNA from 1 species